GCAGUGGGGAAUUUUGGACAAUGGGGGAAACCCUGAUCAGCAUGCCGCGUGUGCGAAGAAGGCCUUCGGGUUGUAAAGCACUUUUGUCAGGGAAGAAAUCCUUUGGGCUAAUACCCUAGGGGGAUGACGGUACCUGAAGAAUAAGCACCGGCUAACUACGUGCCA
rnacentral:rRNA from 1 species